rfam:Gossypium hirsutum cultivar TM-1 chromosome 12, whole genome shotgun sequence
UAUUAAAAUUUAUUUAUUUAUACUGUUAAAAAUUGAUGUGCUUGAUAAAAUAAUAGGCAGUGAUACGUGGCGUGCCAUGUAUACACCAUGUUGACAUAUAGGAACCAAUUUUUAAUAGUAAAUAUAGAUAAAUUUUUUACCA